AGACCCGAAACCCGGUGAUCUAGCCAUGGGCAGGUUGAAGGUUGGGUAACACUAACUGGAGGACCGAACCGACUAAUGUUGAAAAAUUAGCGGAUGACCUGUGGCUGGGGGUGAAAGGCCAAUCAAACCGGGAGAUAGCUGGUUCUCCCCGAAAGCUAUUUAGGUAGCGCCUCGUGAAUUCAUCUCCGGGGGUAGAGCACUGUUUCGGCUAGGGGGCCAUCCCGGCUUACCAACCCGAUGCAAACUGCGAAUACCGGAGAAUGUUAUCACGGGAGACACACGGCGGGUGCUAACGUCCGUCGUGAAGAGGGAAACAACCCAGACCGCCAGCUAAGGUCCCAAAGUCAUGGUUAAGUGGGAAACGAUGUGGGAAGGCCCAGAUAGCCAGGAUGUUGGCUUAGAAGCAGCCAUCAUUUAAAGAAAGCGUAAUAGCUCACUGGUCGAGUCGGCCUGCGCGGAAGAUGUAACGGGGCUAAACCAUGCACCGAAGCUGCGGCAGCGAACGUAUCACUUAAAGCGAUUCAGCGGGUUACGAUUGACGGAGCGAAGCGACGUCAAAGCGUAUACAAAGUCGAGUCGGUUUAAGGAUACGUUCGUUGGGUAGGG
rnacentral:rRNA from 1 species